CACGUAGGGCGCAAGCGUUGUCCGGAAUUAUUGGGCGUAAAGAGCUCGUAGGCGGUCUGUUACGUCUGCUGUGAAAACCCGGGGCUUAACCCUGGGCUUGCAGUGGAUACGGGCAGACUAGAGGCAGGUAGGGGAGAAUGGAAUUCCCGGUGUAGCGGUGAAAUGCGCAGAUAUCGGGAGGAACACCGGUGGCGAAGGCGGGUCUCUGGGCAACUACUGACGCUGAGGAGCGAAAGCGUGGGGAGCGAACAGG
rnacentral:rRNA from 1 species